rnacentral:rRNA from 1 species
UAGUCCACGCCGUAAACGAUGAUCACUCGCUGUGUGCGAUAUAUUGUACGCGGCCUAGUGAAAGCAUUAAGUGAUCCACCUGGGGAGUACGUCGGCAACGAUGAAACUCAAAGGAAUUGACGGGGGCCCGCACAAGCGGAGGAACAUGUGGUUUAAUUCGAUGAUACGCGAGGAACCUUACCUGGGCUUAAAUGUAGCGUGACCGUUCCCGAAAGGGGAUUUCUCUUCGGAGCAGGUUACAAGGUGCUGCAUGGCUGUCGUCAGCUCGUGCCGUGAGGUGUCGGGUUAAGUCCCAUAACGAGCGCAACCCCUAUUCUUAGUUGCCAGCGGAUAAUGCCGGGGACUCUAAGGAGACUGCCACCGUAAGGUGUGAGGAAGGUGGGGAUGACGUCAAGUCAGCACGGCCCUUACGUCCAGGGCUACACACGUGUUACAAUGGCCAGUACAAAAGGCAGCUACCUGGCGACAGGAUGCUAAUCCCCAAAACUGGUCUUAGUUCGGA